UACGGGGGGAGCAAGCGUUGUUCGGAUUUACUGGGCGUAGAGGGCGCGUAGGCGGCCACCGCAAGUCGACUGUGAAAUCUCCGGGCUUAACCCGGAAAGGUCAGCCGAUACUGCGGGGCUAGAGUGCAGAAGGGGCAACUGGAAUUCUCGGUGUAGCGGUGAAAUGCGUAGAUAUCGAGAGGAACACCUGCGGCGAAGGCGGGUUGCUGGGCUGACACUGACGCUGAGGCGCGAAAGCUAGGGGAGCGAACGGG
rnacentral:rRNA from 1 species